UACAGAGGGGGCAAGCGUUAUUCGGAAUUAUUGGGCGUAAAGGGCGCGUAGGCGGUAUGGCAAGUGGAAGGUGAAAUCCCUCGGCUUAACCGAGGAACUGCCCUCCAAACUGCUUUACUUGAGGCCUGGAGAGGUGAGUGGAAUUCCCAGUGUAGCGGUGAAAUGCGUAGAUAUUGGGAGGAACACCAGUGGCGAAGGCGGCUCACUGGACCGGUUCUGACGCUGAAGCGCGAAAGCGUGGGGAGCAAACAGG
rnacentral:rRNA from 1 species